rnacentral:rRNA from 1 species
CGGACAAUAUACAAGGUGCUGCAUGGUUGUCGUCAGCUCGUGCCGUGAGGUGUCGGGUUAAGUCCCAUAACGAGCGCAACCCCUAUCAUUAGUUGCCAUCAGGUCAAGCUGGGGACUCUAAUGAAACUGCCUACGCAAGUAGUGAGGAAGGUGGGGAUGACGUCAAAUCAGCACGGCCCUUACGUCCAGGGCUACACACGUGCUACAAUGGCCGGUACAAAGGGCAGCUACCUGGUGACAGGAUGCUAAUCUCAAAAGCCGGUCUCAGUUCGGAUCGGAGUCUGCAACCCGGCUCCGUGAAGCUGGAAUCGCUAGUAAUCGCGCAUCAGCCAUGGCGCGGUGAAUACGUUCCCGGGCCUU